rnacentral:lncRNA from 1 species
AGGGGCCUCCGUGUGCCAAAAAUAGGCCGCGGGCAAAGCCGCGCCCAAAAAUAACCGCCCGAAGGCCGGGGCGCCAAGUUCGUCCAGCGGAAAAAGGCCACAAAAACGGGUGGGCUAUAGCCUUGGGGGGUGGGUCCGGCCCACUUCGUCCGCCGGAGUCGGAAUGCGGCGAGACUUUGCGAGGGGCCUCCGUGUGCCAAAAAUAGGCCGCGGGCAAAAAUAACCGCCCGAAGUCCGGGGCGCCAAGUUCGUCCAGCGGAAAAAGGCCACAAAAACGAGUGGGCUAUAGCCUUGGGGGGUGGGGCUGGCCAACUUCGUCUGCCGGACUCGGAAUGCCGCGAGACUUUACGAGGGGUCUCCGUGUGCCAAAAAUAGGCCGCGGACAAAGCCGUGCCCAAAAAUAACCGCCCGAAGGCCGGGGGGCAAAGUUCGUCCAGCGGAAAAAGGCCACAAAAACGGGUGGGCUAUAGCCUUGGGGGGUGGGGCUGGCCAACUUCGUCCGCCGGACUCGGAAUGCCGCGAGACUUUGCGAGGGGCCUCCGUGUGCCAAAAAUAGGUCGCCGGCAAAGCCGCGCCCAAAAAUAACCGCCCGAAGGCCGGGGCGCCAAGUUCGUCCAGCGGAAAAAGGCCACAAAAACGGGUGGGCUAUAGUCUUGGGGGGUGGGGCUGGCCAACUUCGUCCGCCGGACUCGGAAUGCCGCGAGACUUUGCGAGGAGCCUCCGUGUGCCAAAAAUAGGCCGUAGGCAAACCCGCACCCAAAAAUAACUGCCCAAAGGCCGGGGCGCCAAGUUCGUGCAGCGGAAAAAGGCCACAAAAACGGGUGGGCUAUAGCCUUGGGGGGUGGGGCUGGCCAACUUCGUCCGCCGGACUCGGAAUGCCGCGAGACUUUGCGCGGGGCCUCCGUGUGCCAAAAAUAGGCCGCGGCCAAAGCCGCGCCCAAAAAUAACCGCCCGAAGGGCGGGGCGCCAAGUUCGUCCAGCGGAAAAAGGCCACAAAUACGGGUGGGCUAUAGCCUUGGGGGGUGGGGCGGGCCGACUUCGUCCGUCGGACUCGGAAUGCCGCCACACUUUGCGAGGGGCCUCCGUGUGCCAAAAAUAGGCCGCGGGCAAAGCCGCGCCCAAAAUUAACCGCCCGAAGGCCGGGGCACCAAGUUCGUCCAGCGGAAAAAGGCCACAAAAACGGGUGGGCUAUUGCCUUGGGGGGUGAUGCUGGCCAACUUUGUCCGCCGGACUCGUAAUGCCGCGAGACUUUGCGAGGGGCCUCCGU